UACGUAGGGGGCAAGCGUUAUUCGGAAUAACUGGGCGUAAAGGGCGCGCAGGCGGGUGUGUAAGUCAAAAGUGAAAACCUUGGGCUCAACCCAAGAGCUGCAUUAGAUACUGGGCAGCUAGAGUGUGGGAGAAGAAAGCGGAAUUCCUGGUGUAGCGGUGAAAUGCGUAGAUAUCAGGAGGAACACCAGUGGCGAAAGCGGCUUGCUGGACGACAACUGACGCUUAGGCGCGAAAGCGUGGGGAGCAAACAGG
rnacentral:rRNA from 1 species